rnacentral:rRNA from 1 species
CCCUUAGAUGUUCUGGGCAGCACGCGCGCUACAAUGGUCUUCGCAAACGGAUGCAUUCUCGAAGGAGUAUGCCAAUCUUGGAAUCUAUGCCUUGGUCGGGACAGUUGCUUGCAAUUUUUCGACUCGAACCAGGAAUUCCUUGUAAUCGUGAUUCAUCACAUCACGAUGAAUACGUCCCUGCCCUUUGUACACACCGCCCGUCGCUCCUACCGAUCGAAGAGUUAGGUGAAUUGUUUUGAUCGAUAAGAUUUGACUAUGGUCAACUCUCGUUGUGAAAUUCUGUGAAUCUGACUGUUUAGAGGAAGGAAAAGUCGUAACA